rnacentral:rRNA from 1 species
GCGUAGCCGACCUGAGAGGGUGAUCGGCCACACUGGGACUGAGACACGGCCCAGACUCCUACGGGAGGCAGCAGUAGGGAAUCUUCCGCAAUGGACGAAAGUCUGACGGAGCAACGCCGCGUGAGUGAUGAAGGUUUUCGGAUCGUAAAGCUCUGUUGUUAGGGAAGAACAAGUGCCGUUCAAAUAGGGCGGCACCUUGACGGUACCUAACCAGAAAGCCACGGCUAACUACGUGCCAGCAGCCGCGGUAAUACGUAGGUGGCAAGCGUUGUCCGGAAUUAUUGGGCGUAAAGGGCUCGCAGGCGGUUUCUUAAGUCUGAUGUGAAAGCCCCCGGCUCAACCGGGGAGGGUCAUUGGAAACUGGGGAACUUGAGUGCAGAAGAGGAGAGUGGAAUUCCACGUGUAGCGGUGAAAUGCGUAGAGAUGUGGAGGAACACCAGUGGCGAAGGCGACUCUCUGGUCUGUAACUGACGCUGAGGAGCGAAAGCGUGGGGAGCGAACAGGAUUAGAUACCCUGGUAGUCCACGCCGUAAACGAUGAGUGCUAAGUGUUAGGGGGUUUC